CAUGCACUGGUGGGGUCCCUCGGCCUGGCCUGUGCCCUCUCACAAUCCGGGACCCCUUGAGGGAUGUCAGAGAGAGAGUUUCAGCCCGAUCCCGCAGGCCAGGCCGAGGGACCCCACCAGCGCACA
rnacentral:pre_miRNA from 1 species